AAUGGGCGCAAGCCUGAUCCAGCCAUGCCGCGUGAGUGAAGAAGGCCUUCGGGUUGUAAAGCUCUUUCGGCCGGAACGAAAUCGCGCCCCCUAAUACGGGGUGUGGAUGACGGUACCGGAAGAAGAAGCACCGGCUAACUACGUGCCAGCAGCCGCGGUAAUACGUAGGGUGCGAGCGUUAAUCGGAAUUACUGGGCGUAAAGCGUGCGCAGGCGGCGCGCCAAGUCAGAUGUGAAAGCCCCGGGCUUAACCUGGGAAUUGCGUUUGAAACUGGCGGGCUGGAGUGUGGCAGAGGGAGGUGGAAUUCCACGUGUAGCAGUGAAAUGCGUAGAGAUGUGGAGGAACACCGAUGGCGAAGGCAGCCUCCUGGGCCAACACUGACGCUCAUGCACGAAAGCGUGGGGAGCAAA
rnacentral:rRNA from 1 species